UCUCAGUUCGGAUUGUAGUCUGCAACUCGACUACAUGAAGCUGGAAUCGCUAGUAAUCGCGAAUCAGCAUGUCGCGGUGAAUACGUUCCCGGGUCUUGUACACACCGCCGUCACACCAUGGGAGUUGGUAACGCCCGAAGCCAGUGACCCAACCGGAAACGGAGGGAGCUGUCGAAGGUGGGACCGAUAACUGGGGUGAAGUCGUAACAAGGUAAC
rnacentral:rRNA from 1 species